UACGUAGGUGGCGAGCGUUGUCCGGAUUUACUGGGCGUAAAGGGAGCGUAGGCGGACUUUUAAGUGAGAUGUGAAAUACCCGGGCUCAACUUGGGUGCUGCAUUUCAAACUGGAAGUCUAGAGUGCAGGAGAGGAGAAUGGAAUUCCUAGUGUAGCGGUGAAAUGCGUAGAGAUUAGGAAGAACACCAGUGGCGAAGGCGAUUCUCUGGACUGUAACUGACGCUGAGGCUCGAAAGCGUGGAGAGCAAACAGGAUUAGAUACCCU
rnacentral:rRNA from 1 species